UACAGAGGGUGCAAGCGUUAAUCGGAAUUACUGGGCGUAAAGCGAGCGUAGUCGGUUAUUUAAGUCGGGUGUGAAAGCCCCGGGCUCAACCUGGGAAUUGCAUUCGAUACUGGAUAGCUAGAGUUCGGCAGAGGGAAGCGGAAUUUCCGGUGUAGCGGUGAAAUGCGUAGAUAUCGGAAGGAACAUCAGUGGCGAAAGCGGCUUCCUGGACCAGAACUGACGAUCAGGCUCGAAAGCGUGGGAGCGAACAGG
rnacentral:rRNA from 1 species